rnacentral:rRNA from 1 species
CCCUAUGGGGUGCAGCAGGCCGAGGAUCUCCUUGUCGGACAUGCCGGCGAUGUCCUUGAGCGGGAUCUUGCCGUCAACCUUGCCGUUCUCGAAGCUUUGGUACUUCGCCAUUAUCUGACCUCCUGUUGGUCGCAGGCUUUGAGCUUCAGGCUAACCCUUGCUGUUGCGGAUGAUGGCCAUGCUCAUAUCGUGCAGAUUCUUCUGGACGUUGCUCAGCAGCUCAGUCAUCUGGGUAAACUGCCCCAUGGCCAGGUUCAAAUUGUUCAGGUCCUUCUGGAAAGUCGGGCUGUUGGGAUCGAGGUGGCCGAUCUGGCUGUUCAGGUCGGAGUACAUGUUGUCCAUCACCCCGGCCAGCGAGUUGACAAUGCUGUUGACGCCGGAAUUGGCGGGGGGGC